AAUAGAUACCCGGGUAGUCCACGCCGUAAACGAUGAAUGCUAGGUGUUAGGGGUUUCGAUACCCUUGGUGCCGAAGUUAACACAUUAAGCAUUCCGCCUGGGGGGUACGGUCGCAAGACUGAAACUCAAAGGAAUUGACGGGGACCCGCACAAGCAGUGGAGUAUGUGGUUUAAUUCGAAGCAACGCGAAGAACCUUACCAGGUCUUGACAUCCUCUUGAAUACUUCAGAGAUGAGGUAGGCUUUCGGGACAAGAGAGACAGGUGGUGCAUGGUUGUCGUCAGCUCGUGUCGUGAGAUGUUGGGUUAAGUCCCGCAACGAGCGCAACCCUUAAGCUUAGUUGCCAGCAGGUAGCGCUGGGCACUCUAAGUUGACUGCCGGUGACAAACCGGAGGAAGGUGGGGAUGACGUCAAAUCAUCAUGCCCCUUAUGACCUGGGCUACACACGUACUACAAUGGCCGGUACAACGGGAAGCGAAGGAGCGAUCCGGAGCAAAUCUUAUAAAGCCGGUCUCAGUUCGGAUUGCAGG
rnacentral:rRNA from 1 species